rnacentral:sRNA from 1 species
GCUGGGUGUUGUGGCGCAUGCCUGAAAUCCCAGCCACUCAGGAAGCUGAGACAGGAGGAUUACAAGUUCGAGGCUGGCCUCAGCAAUUUAGCAAGUCCCUGUGUCAA